CAGGGGUGGCUUCUCUGACAAGCUGCCAGAAGCAUCCCCCUUGUAUGACAGAGACAAGGCCAGCCAGCUACAAGACAGACAGACUGACGGCCAAGCCAAUCAGUGACAGCAGCAGGACCUCUGGGAUAACAUAUUUAAGAAAAAGAAAAAAUAUGCUGUGCAACAACAGCCAAGUGUCUCUAUAUAGGACACGAAACAACACGACAUGGACGCGCUGCUGCUCUCAAGGUAGAAAAGGGAAGUUUAUUUUCUGACUCCAACAUUUACAGACUUCCAAAGGUGACAGUGGAUUGGAGGGUGAAAGUGCCACCUCUCCAAUGACACUGGACAAACCAACAGUCUAUCAAAUUUCUCCUCCUCCAUAAAAGAAUGCAAAACAAUAAAUUGCUUACAGAAAGUGUGUGAGAAAGUUUGCUACAAGAAUGCAAACAUCAGAAGGCUUAGAAAAUCUUAAAAAAUCAGGGCAACAGCCAAGGAGAGGAAUGAGAAUAUGUGAGAGCAAUAUCCCUGCAGGCACCAAGGUCAGUGAAGAAGGGGGAGGAAGUGCUCCAGGUGCUGGAGCAGUGAUUUCCCUGCAGCCUGUGGGGAAAAGAAGGCAGCUGUGAGGCAGCUGUGCCCCUGCAGCCCAUGCAGGUCCAGGAUGGAGCCAAGACCCACCUGCAGCCCACAGAGGGACCCCACACUGGGGCAAGUGGAUGCCCCGGGAGACUGUGACCCUGUGGGAAGCCCACACUGCAGCAGGCUCCUGGCAGGACUGGUGGACCCAUGGAGAGAAAAGCCCACACUGGAGCAGGCUUUUCCUCAAGGAAUGCACCCCUUGGAACAGACCAACAGUGGAGUGGUUUGUGAAGAACUACAGCCCAUGGGAAGGACUCACAUUGGAGAAACUUAUUGAGGACUGCCUCUUGUGGGAGGGACUCCACGCUGGAAUAGGAUGGUAUCUGAGGAGACUCAUUUGAUGUGGGUGUAUUACUACUAGCAAUUGCCAAGCAGUUUUACCUAAGGUGAUGGGGAGAAGACAUAAGCCUGAACAAUCAGUGGCCUUGCUCUUCCAGACUUCUGCAACUGCCUUAAAGCAAUCCUUCCUCCUCCUGCUGCCUCCUUGGGCAAUUAUUACAUCUUGUGCCAGAAUGAAUACACCUUUGCCUAGCUGACUAAAUAUGCCUGAGAUUAGUAAGAAAACCACUUUUCCCUACAUGCCCAGUGGUGAGACAGAAGAGCCUGUGAAGCUGCUCCUCACCUAGAUGUGUCUCAUUUGGCUCUCCUUUGUCUGAUGCAGCUAAUAACAUAUUGUUUCUGGGCUGCUUUUUCCUAUCUGUCCUUUCCCAUCUUACACAGUAAUGAAGAAAAAUUAUACCAUUUUUAUGCAACAUGGGACUUGUUCCUAUAUUAUAGCUUUAGUAAUUUCUUCUUUUAAACUUCUUAAUUUACUUUAUUAAAGGAUUUUAUGUCCGUACUGUCACCAUUGCACCAUAUAUAUACUAGGACACCCUUAGUGCCCUUGAUUUCUCCUGCUCUCUUUCUGUGGCACAUCAUAAUUUCUAGGGCUUUUUUUUAUUCUAAUUAAUUAUAGGAUGUUGGGAGUUAUUAGCUUGGAACUUCUGGUGUGUAAGUGGUGUGAGGCUGGUGCUCUGAAGUCCUUUUUAAACUAACUAUAUAUUACAUUUUUGCAGUCAGCUAGACUCCGUGGCCACACCAGUACAAAAGGAAAUAAAGCCAGGAAGAAAGCUCAAAUGCUGGAUCUGCAGCCAUUCCCACUGCUCCCCUGCUAGCACUCUCCCUGGCAUAGCUAUGUUUUGGGGGGGGACUGAAGUGGUCCAUGGGUCUGCUGUAUUCACCACUGCAGGCACGGCUGCUUAUCCAGAUGGUAUCUGGCAUCUUAAUCCUACAAUUUAAAAUUAUCUGGUGCCCCCUCCUAGCCUCACUCCUGUGCUUAAAGGCCAUUCUGAAAUGCUAAGUGCCUAACAUAACUGGAUUUUUUAACACUGGUUAUGCAAAUGAGAUAAUACAAUCAUGGCUGGGGGUUCAUAAUGUAGUUUUAUUCUUGUGUCUGACAGAUGUCACCAUCAUUGAUGAUCCUAUUUCACACUGGCUAUACUGUAAUUUUACAUCCUCAGUAAAGCUUAAUUGCAUGUAAGUUGAAGUGGUUUUUCACAAAAAUUUGGUAUAUGAUGAGGCCAUAAGGCUGAGGAGCCACAAACAAAGUAUUUAGGACAUUAAACACAGGGUUUGUUCUACACUUGCUCUAAACAUGCAAUUGCUCUACAAAGACUCAUUUACAUUACUCCUAGCUAAACUUAGCCAAAUCCUGGGGGUUUAUUACCUAAAAUUAUGCUGAUAUUACAAUUUACCACCACUUUACUUUCCUAGAACCCCCCUUUUUUUUUUUUUGGAGGCCAGUACUUCUCCUGUGCCAAGUGGAUUGUUCUUACUUUUCUUGACUUCUUAAUAAUGGAGUAUUGCAUGGCUAAACAUAUGCCAUGUGAAGUUUCUGUAGGUCUGAAAUAAAAAAAAAAUAAUAACAUUUUUCUUAGCUGAAUUUGUGACUUGCAUUAAAGUGACAGAUUUUCUGGCAUGAUUUUAGAGCUGAGAGGAAGGGAUUUUUAAAUAGUAUCUGAUAACUAUAGGAGCCAAUGAGAAAUACAGUGUCAUGUUAUGGGAAGAUAAGAUAUAUUCAGUGAGGUCUGAGCUUCACACAUACCACUAUUUCUGGUGAUCCAGUGAAUGUACUCAGAUUCCAUGAGCAAGAAUGACCUGUUCAGUCUUACAUACCUAUAUGCUAGUAGCUACCAUGACAUCCUGCACAAUAUAUGCUAUGAAGUAGCACUGAAAUAUUCUAUCCUUCUGGUACCAGAAUGAAUUUUUAAGCCAACUUAUGAACAAUUAAUUCCAUUCCCCACACUGCCAGAAGAAAGCCUACCCUUAAGGAUGCUUACCAGAGCAGAGAGGGCAAUACUUUUUGUUACCGUUCAGAUUCUAGUUAAGAUUCUCAGAACUAAAUACACACUCUAGUUAGAGUGGUAAAGCAUCAGAAGCUGGGGUAGCCACAGACUGAGAGCAAAGCACGGCUGACAAGAAACGUGCAUGCAGUCAGUACAGUAUCCUAAGUGACAAAUCAGAAUGACAUAUUACUGAAAAGCUGCAAAUUUAGCAUCUGCCUUUGAAGGCAGGUGUGUGGGAGAGCUACUGCAAACAGCACCAGCAAGACCUCGCCUAGCAUAAUGUAGAGGCUUCUGGUCAGUAUUCUCUGAAAGAACUCAGAUGAUAAGUGUAAAAGCAGCUGUUAAAGCACACCAGGGGAACAGAAGUCUAAUUGGAAUAGAAUAUUUUAGCUUGCUUAUUGUGAUAAAUAUCAGAGAAGUUAUGGUUUCUUUCUGUAUACCAUCAGAGAACAGACAUGAGGCAAAGUCAUGUCAAUUAAAGGGCACUGAAUCUGAGCUGUCCAGCAACUAUUUUGGCCUUGAAAGCAGAACACAGAUUAGAAGGACAAGCCUAAAAGGAAACUGUUUUAAGGGAGAGUAGGCACUGCAUAACAAUAAGGCCCUGUCCUCUAUUCCUAAGAAUGGGUGUAUGUAUUAAAAACUGGAGUAUAUCCAGUUGAUAAACAGUUGGAAAUUAAAGUUUAUGAAUCACUGUAAAACAAACCUUUAAAAAUAAAUACAAAGAUAAGCUGUUUCAGGAAUUAUCUGCUGAAAAAUUUUACUGUAUUUAGGUAAAACUUAAAGUGGCACCAGGAACAUGUAACUAUAAAUUUAUAUGGUGUUCAGUAUUAUGUUCCAACAGUGUCCUGUCUUACAUGGAAAUAACUAGACAGAAAUAAAGAAAUUAAAUAUA